GGAAUAUUGCACAAUGGGCGAAAGCCUGAUGCAGCAAUGCCGCGUGUGUGCAGAAGGCCUGCGGGUUGUAAAGCACUUUUAUCAGGAAAGAACCUGCCUGGAGAUAAUCCCCCCAGGCACUGACGGUACCUGAGGCAUAAGCACCGGCUAACUCCGUGCCAGCGGCCGCGGUAAUACGGAGGGUGCAAGCGUUAAUCGGAAUUACCGGGCGUAAAGCGAGUGUAGGCGGCUACGUAAGUCGGUUGUGAAAUCCCCGGGCUUAACCUGGGAAUUGCGUUCGAUACUGCGUGGCUAGAGUCUGAUAGAGUGAAGUGGAAUUCCAGGUGUAGCGGUGAAAUGCGUAGAUAUCUGGAGGAACAUCAGUGGCGAAGGCGGCUUCCUGGAUCAAGACUGACGCUCAGGCUCGAAAGCGUGGGUAGCA
rnacentral:rRNA from 1 species